rnacentral:rRNA from 1 species
CCCGUGCCAGCGAGCCGCGUAUAAGACGGAGCGGCGCAAGCUUUGUUCUCAAUUACUGUGCGUAACGCGCACGCAGGCGGCCUGUUCAGUCCUUAGUGACACUCCCGGGGCUCAACCCCGGAAUUGCAUCGGAGUACUGGCACGCUACAGAUCGAUAGAGGCUAGCUGAGUUCCUUGUGUAUCGGUGGAAUGCGUACAUGUCAGGAAGAACACCUGUAGGCGAAGGCGGCUAGCUGGGCCGAUUCUGACGCUCAUGUGCGAAAGCGUAGGGAGCAAAACUGAUUAGAUACCCUGGUAGUCCACGCCGUAAACGAUGGGCACUAGAUGCCGUGCAUAUAGAACGUGUUCGGUGUCGCCGCCUACGCAUUACGUGCCCCGCCUGGGGAGUACGCCAGCAAGGAUGAAACUCAAAGGAACUGACGGGGGCCCGCACAAGCGAUGGAGCAUGUGGAUUAAUUCGAAGCAACGCGAAGAACCUUACCUGGGCUUGACAUCUUGCUGAAAGCUCAUGGAAACAGGAGCCCUCGUUAGGGACACCAUGACAGGUGCAGCAUGGCUGUCGUCAGCUCGUGUCAUGAGAUGUUG